rnacentral:rRNA from 1 species
UACAGAGGGUGCAAGCGUUGUUCGGAAUUAUUGGGCGUAAAGGGCGCGUAGGCGGUGCUGUAAGUCUGUAGUGAAAUCUCUGGGCUCAACUCAGAGUCUGCUAUAGAAACUGCAGUGCUGGAGUGUGGGAGAGGUGAGUGGAAUUCCGAGUGUAGAGGUGAAAUUCGUAGAUAUUCGGAAGAACACCAGUGGCGAAGGCGACUUACUGGACACAUAUUGACGCUGAGGUGCGAAAGCGUGGGGAGCAAACAGG